rnacentral:rRNA from 1 species
AUUGAACGCUGGCGGCAGGCCUAACACAUGCAAGUCGAGCGGAUGAAGGGAGCUUGCUCCUGGAUUCAGCGGCGGACGGGUGAGUAAUGCCUAGGAAUCUGCCUGGUAGUGGGGGAUAACGUCCGGAAACGGGCGCUAAUACCGCAUACGUCCUGAGGGAGAAAGUGGGGGAUCUUCGGACCUCACGCUAUCAGAUGAGCCUAGGUCGGAUUAGCUAGUUGGUGGGGUAAAGGCCUACCAAGGCGACGAUCCGUAACUGGUCUGAGAGGAUGAUCAGUCACACUGAAACUGAGACCCGUUCCAGACUCUUACGGGAGGCAGAAGUGGGGAAUAUUGGACAAUGGGCGAAGGCCUGUCCCAGCCAGGCCGCGUGUGUGAAGAAGGUCUUCGGAUGGUAAAGCACUUUAGGUUGGAAGAAGGGCAGUAAGUUAAUACCUUGCUGUUUUGACGUUACCAACAGAAUAAGCACCGGCUAACUUCGUG